rnacentral:tRNA from 1 species
GGGGAAUUAGCUCAGGCGGUGGAGCGCUCGCUUAGCUAUGCGAGAGGUAGCGAGAUCGACGCCCGCAUUCUCCA